UGAGUAACCUGCCCUUAACUCUGGGAUAAGCCUGGGAAACUGGGUCUAAUACCGGAUAUGACUCCUCAUCGCAUGGUGGGGGGUGGAAGGCUUUUUGUGGUUUUGGAUGGACUCGCGGCCUAUCAGCUUGUUGGUGAGGUAAUGGCUCACCAAGGCGACGACGGGUAGCCGGCCUGAGAGGGUGACCGGCCACACUGGGACUGAGACACGGCCCAGACUCCUACGGGAGGCAG
rnacentral:rRNA from 1 species